CAUGAAGCUGGAAUCGCUAGUAAUCGCGGAUCAGAAUGCCGCGGUGAAUACGUUCCUGGGUCUUGUACACACCGCCCGUCACACCAUGGGAGUCGGAAAUGCCCGAAGUCUGUGACCCAACCGCGAGGAGGGAGCAGCCGAAGGCAGGUCGGAUGACUGGGGUGAAGUCGUAACAAGGUAUC
rnacentral:rRNA from 1 species